UUUAGAAGAAAACAGUUUGCGCUCCAUAUUUGAUAUGCCGCGUGUACUCGAUUUAUUAUUAUUACAAAUGGACGACGGCUAUGUUAGAUGCAUCGGAGUUGGGCAGAAAAUAUCCUAUUGUGCGUUUCUAUUUUAGUAUUUGGAGUGUUCAGAGGAAAUAGUUGAGUCUAAAGUGUUAAAAAGUGGAUUUCACACAAGAAAAUUUUGGUGAGACUAUAAAGUGAAUAAGAAACAUGAGAAGAACAUAAUUAAUUGUACAAAAUGUUCAUGUACAUUUAUUACAACAGUGAAAUGUUUCAUUAUAAUACAACGCACAUUACAUAAACAAAGAACUACAAAACAUACAAAGACAACUGCAAUAGCACUCAUUGCACCAAAGAACCAAAAUGUAGGACCAGUGCCCAUAGCGCUGUUU